rnacentral:lncRNA from 12 species
AAGGUACUCACAAGGUAGUAACAUCUAGUCUACUUUCUCUUCUUUUACAGUAGAAAUGACAUAAAGUGAUGUAAUUUCCUGCCAGAGAUCUGAAGUUUCAAACACGGUGUAUCAUUUGAGAAGUAUAACUAAAACUAUUCAAAUAAUGCAAAACAAGGUUAUCACCUCAAUUUCACAAAUGUUCUUCAUGGAAGCCUAGGAAGUAAACCUGGGUCAUGGAGGACAUGGUUCCAAUGCUCAGUUUCUUUUGAAAAAUUUUCAUCCAAACAUGAAUUCACAGAGAGUAAUGGUUUAAAGUGAUGCAUGGAAAGUGCUGUUCAGAAAGAAAGAUAACAUAUACAAAGGACAUAUGCCUAGAGAUUAUAAAGAACAUGAAAGG